rnacentral:rRNA from 1 species
UUUUAAGUAGAAUCUGCUCAAUGAGUUUUAAAUAGCCGCAAUUUUCUGUGCUAAGGUAGCAUAAUCAUUUGCCUUUUAAUUAAAGGCUAGAAUGAAUGAUUUAACACUUUAAUUUCUAUCUUAAACUUUAAUGUAAAAAUUAUAUUAAAUAUAAAAAUAUAUUUAUAAUAAAAAUAGACGACAAGACCCUGUUGAACUUUACUUUAGUUUAGCUGGGGCAGCUAAAUAAUAAAUAUUUUAUUGACCAUUAGCCCAAAAAUGACCCAACAUAGUUGAUUGGAUGAUCAAGUUACCACAGGGAUAACAGCAUAAUUUACUUUUCUAGCUCUUAUUAAAAAGAAAGAUUAUGACCUCGAUGUUGAAUUAUUACCCUUAUUAACGCAAGAGUUGACUAAGGGGGUCUGUUCGACCCUUAAAUUUUUACA